UUUUGAAAAUAAAGAGUAUAAAAACAUUCUUUAGAAAUUUGUGAAAUUUCAAUGAAAUAGGAAUUCUGAUUGGGGGGGGAAGUUUAGUAUUCAGUGUACAUAAAUAGCUUAGUUUUUUACAUUUGAAAUCAAUUAAUUGCCUGGCUCUGAUAAUUAGGGAUUUCCUGAAGUGGAAUCCAUUGCUCAUAAACCAGGAAUGUUAAAACCAGUCAAGCCAUUUGCUUUGCAAAAUGAUCUGUUUAUAGUAUAGCUGAAACAAGAUAAAUCACACAUGCAAAACAGCUGUCUGUUGGUAGUGAAGAAUAGUCUCUGUUCUACAUAUUAAGAAUACUCAUUAUAGAUAGUCAUUUGUGUGCCGGGGCAAUGAUCAUUCAGUAAUACAUAGACGUGAAAGCAGAACUUACUCGACUAGGCCUAGCCUCUUUGGAACUAUGUGUUCUGAGGCGCAGAGAGCAGGAUUUACUAGUACUGUGACAUUUGGAGCCAGGUAACUCUUUAUUAUGGAAGACUAUGCGUUGCAGGUUGUUUAGCAGAAUCCUAGCCUCUACCCACUAGAUACCAGUAAGAAUGCCCCACCGCAGUUGUGACAAUCAAAAAUAUUUCUAGAUAUUGCCAAAUGUCUUGUGGGAGGCAAAAUUGCCUCCGGUCAAGAACUACUGAUAUAGACUGAUGAUCUAAUAGUGCCUCGUGAUAUUAUGUGCCAACUUAUCGAAGCAAUAAUGACAUUCCUAUUGUAAUACAUGCAGGAUUUCUCAGGAUAAUCUUAGUUUCAGAUAUUCUGCCCCACUCACCCACCAGAUAUACCUUGGAAACCCACUUAUCCUGACAUUUUUCUAUUUGAAAAUAUGGUGACCGUCCCUAUGCAAUGUUUGUCUUGUUUAGGACUUAAAGUUGGAACACAUUGAUUGUGUCGCCAUUGGUUUUAGUCUUUAUGCAUCUUGCUUAAGCUAAUAGUUGAUGUAGCUCAUACUGCUUAAUGACAUUGAAUGUAAUUAUAUCCUAAGAGUGGUAUAAGUCUGCCACUAGCUUAAUUGAAGCAAAUUUCAUUUAAAGCUUUACUAAGCGGAGCAAUACGGGUUUUUUUUGGUCUGAUUUUUCUCAUAUUGGUAUUAAGGUAAAUUUUUUGGUGGUUUUCACAUGUAGCAUGACCAUUGAUUGUUCUAGUAAUGUGUCACAUCAUAUGUGGCUGGGAAGGGGUGGCCUUUUGGAGUCCUGAGGAGUAUUGUUCUACCUGUCUACCAGGAUACCUUUCCAGGUAAAUGCUGGUAUAUUGGCUAUAUUACCCGAGGGACGUUCAUUUACUUUUAGUGUGAAUUUCAUUUAUAAAAUAAGUUUGAUAUUACUCAUGUCUUUAAAACAAGUAUAAAAAAUUACCACUUUUCUUUUUGACUAACCUUUGCCCAAGAACUAUAAUGGUGGUAAGGAAGGUGAAGUCAUUUUUUGUACUUCUUACUAUUAAUAGAUCUUAUACCAAGUGCUCUAUGGAAACGUGUCUGUUUAACCUGUAAUAGUAGGGUCAGUUAUAGAAGGUGUCAGUAUUUGUCUUAAAAAUAUUUGUGGUAGAACAUAUAUAGUUUUCCAUAUCACUAUUCUAGGAGUUAUAUAUUAAUAAUUACUAGUCUAAUAAAAUACCAAAUUUUCAGCAUCAGGGAGACCAAUCAGGGAAAUAAUAUUCUACACAUAAUGCUGUAGAAUAAUUACCCAAGAAGAUAUUUUUCUGAUAUUAUAUAGCCUGGGAAUAGUUUUGCCAAAUUAUUCCUGAGUCUAUUUUAUAUUUAUCAUUUGUUAAAAAAAAAAAACACCAUAAUUUUCACGGACACAGUACCUUGAAAAAUAAUUGUGGCCCACAGUAUUUUGAAUGUUGGCUUUCUUAAACAUGAUUAUUUUAAGUUCAACCUAUUUAUUUUAUUCUGAGUCUGUGGAUAUGUAAUAAUUUGCUUUCAUUCCCCUCCACCACUUUGUUUUAUAGCGUUUGACUAUAGAAGAGGACCUAUAUAAAUGAAUGACAAAGCCUUUCUUAUUUUUGAGCCCUCAGUCCUUAUAAGCUCAUGGCCAUUGAGCAGAGUAAAUCCUAUUAUUGCUGUGUUUACAACAGUAUUUUCUAGAUUUUUAUUUGUGUGUACAAAAUAUCCCUUGUGUCUUGUAUGUUCAUGUGAUAUUUACUAACUUUGUCAUGAAAUUUUUAUUGUUUGAGAACAUGGAAAAUUAUAUGAAAGAAUUUUUGUUGUUACUGUUUUAUGUUUUGAGUUUGGGUCAAAAUUUCCAGCUUGAGAAAGUCUCAAUUUUGUGAAACUUGAAAAAAAGUGUUUAACUUUUAGUUCCAAAUGUCAUGAAAAUGAACCUGACUUCUCUUUUCCUCCCCACAUGCUUUCAUUUUUCUUUAGAGUGCUAAGGGAUCAAUCUUAACUUGCCCAACUGCAUAUGUAAGGAGAAAACUCUGGAGAACGCCCCAGCCAGACUUCAAAAAAUUAGGAAUAACACAAAAUGGCCCUCAAACUCUUAAACUUUAGAUUUUUAAUGUCGACAAAAUUCUCAUUAUUGCUUUUUGGCAGGGAAGUGAUUUAGAAGAAUGAAAUGAGAAUAUUUUUUACCCCUCUCCUCUUUUUAGCCUUAACUAAACUGGAGACAUGUAACUAUUUGUAGUGACUUUUCAUUUUACUAUGCAGUGACUGCACAGGCAUGACAUAUCCUAGCUACUGUUAUCAUGAUGUUAUUAUGCAUAAAAGUAUUAUUUCUAUUUUUAUGGACAAGUUGUUUUGUAUGGGCACACUCUGUUAAAAUGCACCAUUAUGUCAUUGUUUCAACAAACAGCCAUACGUAGCAGUUAUUGGCAAUUAGAUAAGGAAAAAUUUUAAGACAACCAUAUAAUGGUGUUUAUUUCGAGCUGUUUAUCCUAGUCGAUCAGCCUCAGAACCAGAAAGGAAAAUGCACAGUAUUGAUUUUAAUCUGUUAGAAUUUUCAGAUUUCAUUCAUGCAAACAUGGCUCCUGCCAUAAAAGUUGCUCCAACUGUUACAGUAUGAAUUAUUCUAGAAAGGAGUUUUCUUGCUCCUUGUCACCUGGCCCUGGUGGUGGCAGGCUGAGCACGAGGACCAUACUGGGCCGGACCCUCCGAGAAGUUUCUGCAGCAUUGAAACAAGGCCAGAUUAUACCAGUAGAGCUCUGUCAAAAAUGUCUUUCUGUUAUCAAGAAGACCAAAUUUCUAAAUGCCUACAUUACUGUAACAGAAGAGGUGGCCUUAAAACAAGCUGAAGAAUCAGAAUAAAGAUAUAAGAAUGGUCAGUCCCUUGGGGAUUUAGAUGGAAUUCCUAUUGCAGUAAAAGAUAACUUUAGCACGUCUGGCAUUGAGACAACAUGCGCAUCAAAUAUGCUGAAAGGUUAUGUACCACCUUAUAAUGCUACAGUAGUUCCGAAGUUGUUGGAUCAGGGAGCUCUACAAAUGGGGAAGACAAAUUUAGAUGAGUUUGCUAUGGCCUCUGGAACCACAGAUGGUGUAUUUGGACCAGUAAAAAACCCCUGGAGUUAUUGAAAACAAUAAAGAGAAAAGAGGAAGCAGGAGCCACAUGGUGAGAAGGAAGAUUCAAAUUGGCUAAUAACUGGAGGAAGCUCAGGUGGGAGUGCAGCUGCCACCUCAGCAUUCACGUGCUUUGCGGCUUUAGGAUCAGAUACAGGAGGAUGGACCAGAAAUCCUGCUGCCCAUUGUGGACUUGUUGGUGUCAAACCAAGCUAUGGCUUAGUUUCUCGUCAUGGUCUCAUUCCUCUGGUGAAUUCAAUGGACGUGCCAGGAAUCUUAACCAGCUAUGUGGAUGAUGCAGCAGUUGUGUUGGGUAUACUGACUGGACAUGACCCCUAAGAGUCUACCACAGUCCAAGAUCCUGUUAAACCAUUCAUGCUUCCCAGUUUGACAGAUGUGAGCAAACUAUGUAUAGGAAUUCCAAAGGAAUAUCUUGUACCAGAAUUAUCAAGUGAAGUACGAUCUCCUUGGUCCAAAGCCGCUGACCUCUUUGAGUCUGAGGGAGCCAAAGUAAUUGAUGUGUCCCUUCCCCACACAAGUUAUUCCAUUGUCUGCUACCGCGUAUUGUGCACAUCAGAAGUGGCAUCGAAUAUGGCAAGAUGUGAUGGGCUAGAAUAUGGUCACAGAUGUGAAAUUGAUGUGUCUACUGAAGCCAUGUAUGCUGCAACUAGACGAGAAGGGUUCAAUGAUGUGGUGAGAGGAAGAAUUCUCUCAGGAAAUUUUUUCUUAUUAAAAGAAAACUAUGAGAAUUAUUUCAUCAAAGCCCAGAAAGUGAGACGCCUCGUUGCUAAUGACUUUAUGAAUGUUUUUAACUCUGGAGUAGAUGUCUUGCUAACUCCCACCACCUUGAGUGAGGCACUACCCUACUUGGAGUUCAUCAAAGAAGACAACAGAACACGAAGUGCCCAGGACGAUAUUUUCACACAGGCAGUAAAUAUGGCAGGAUUACCAGCAGUGAGUAUCCCUGUAGCACUCUUAAACCAAGGGCUACCAAUAGGACUGCAGUUUAUUGGGCGUGCAUUUUGUGACCAGCAGCUUCUUACAAUUGCCAAGUGGUUUGAAAAACAAGUACAGGUUCCUGUUGCUCAACUUCAAGAACACGUGGAUGAUUGUUCAUCAGUCCUUGAAAAUGAAAAGUUAGCUUCUAUUUCUCUAAAACAAUAGAGAUAAAUGUAUCAUGCAAAUUAAAAUGACGUUUAGAAAUUCUGUUCUCUAGAGAGUCAAAUGAUCUUGCUCAAUUCUUGUAAUUAGGUUCAUUCUCAAUACAGUCUUUCCUUGGAAUCACAAAAAAAAAAAAAGAAAAGAGUUUUCUUGGUUCUAUAAAGAUAGAGCUGACUCGUCUUCUUCUGUUCCCCAGAGUACUCUAAAAAUGAGCUAGUUUAUGGCUUUUAAUAAAAUUAUUUAUACUUUAUGCCAAAUAUAAUAAAGCAAAAUAGUCCCAAGAAAUAUUUCUUCUAGAAUCUCUGUAUGAUCAGAAAAUCUGAAAAUUGUUUUCUCCAUGUCGUGUCUAAGGCAAUAGGUGUGUGUGUGUGUGUGUGUGUGUGUGUGUGUGUCGUAGUAUUGUGAGUACUUUGAAGGGCAGGGACUCCUCUUUGUCUAGUCCACAAAGCUGCACACAUAACAGGUACAUAGCAGGUGCUCAAUAAAAUUGGAGACAUCAACUUUUGUUAAAAUACUUAAUGUAGAUUUAUUUUCUCUCCAGACCACUUCCGCUCAUAUUUUAUCUUAGAAGUCCAGUUAUUGCUCUCUUGGUGAGCUGAGAAGGAGCUCGAAAUGAACAGCUGCUGUUUCUCCCCCAAUGGAUAUGUGGCUGAGUUCUACAGAUAAUUUUAAAAAAAUUCCUAGUAUUGGUUUGGGGGUUGGAGCUGGGGUUGUAUCAGUGUCAGAGAAAGGACUUGUUUGCCAGACUUAAAUUUUCUCACCAGGGCUUCUCCAUUUGUCAAAAAGGACUUCCUUAGUCUGGCUUGUCCUCCUGAAUUGAAUCUUUCAUGAACCAGCUCAAUUCUGUAAGUGCAUCUAAUUUUUUUAUAAGUAUAAAAGGGAACAAUUAUUUGCAUUUGAGUGAGUAUGAAUAGCAAAAAGAUUUCCUUUUCUGGGUAGCGAAAAGCCAGGAAAUAGAUAAAGAAAUUACUUUCAGUGUUUCUUGAAGGAUAGCUCAACAAAUAUCAAAUGCUGUUAGAAAACCUAUGAAAAUAUUGACUUCACGGUGCCUAAUUUCUUUCUGUGUAGUGGAUCUACACCAGAUAUGAGGCAAUUUCCAUUUAAAUAAAUGCCCCUAAAGCCUUCAAAGUAUUUAUAGAGUGUUUGCUUUGUGCACUGCAUGAUAACACCAUGAAUUACUCUUUGCUUUUCUAGUCAAUUUAGCUAUAAGAUUAAAAACAAAAUUAUUUUAUUUUCCCAAGACAAAAAUUAAUUGCAAAUGUCUUAUAAUACCAGUUAAUAGACUGUUGUUUUUAUUAGUCUAUAAAUACUAUACUUCCAUUUUUCACCUGAGUGCCAUUUUCACAUAAAUUAAAUCCUAAAGAAUAAAGAGGAAUUGGCAUCCAAUUAAAUUGGAGCUUAUUUUAUUAUAUACCCUCCUCCCAGAAUCUCCUUCAUCCCCCUCCCCAGUUUUAUAUAGGGGAUUAUAUUCUUUCAAAACAUAAAUAUGCCAGAAAAGUUAUGUGUUUGUUUUUUUUUAAGCCCAACAAACCAUCCUACAUUAUUCUAGUUUCUGUUUAAAUAAUCCCUAUAGCCCUAUUUGAAAAUGCAAGAAACUGUUUAGGUAAAAAUUAUAACUAGUGGAAUGCCAAGGCAAAAUUUAUUAUAUUUAACAGAUAACUUUUAUGAUGAAUUUAUAAUAAUACUAAUAUAUUGGGGGCUCUUAACUGUGGCCAGGAACUGUGUUAGACAUUUAAGUGCAUUUUCUUUUGUAAUACAACAGCCCUAUAAAGAAAAUAUUAUUCUUCCCAUUUUAAAGUGACAAAAUUUGCCUUAAGUUAUGAGACUCAUGUCUGUCCACUCCAAAGCCAUGCUUUUAUUUUUUUUAAUAUUUAUUUUUUAUUUUUUUUGAGACAGAGUCUCAGUUGUUGCCCAG